rnacentral:rRNA from 1 species
UAGGGAAUAUUGCACAAUGGGCGAAAGCCUGAUGCAGCAACGCCGCGUGCGCGAUGAAGGCCUUCGGGUUGUAAAGCGCUUUUCGGGGAGACGAGGAAGGACGGUAUCCCCGGAAUAAGGCUCGGCUAACUACGUGCCAGCAGCCGCGGUAAAACGUAGGAGCCAAGCGUUAUCCGAAUUCACUGGGCGUAAAGCGCGUGCAGGCGGUAUGGCAAGUUGGAUGUGAAAUCUCCCGGCUCAACUGGGAGAGGCCGUUCAAUACUGCCAGACUAGAGGGCGACAGAGGGAGGUGGAAUUCCGGGUGUAGUGGUGAAAUGCGUAGAUAUCCGGAGGAACACCAGAGGCGAAGGCGACCUCCUGGGUCGCACCUGACGCUGAGAUGCGAAAGCUAGGGGAGCAAACGGGAUUAGAAACCCCGGUAGUCCUAGCCGUAAACGAUGUAGACUGGGUGUCGGCGGGUAAAAGCCGUCGGUGCCGAAGCCAACGCGAUAAGUCUACCGCCUGGGGACUACGG